rnacentral:rRNA from 1 species
AUUGAACGCUGGCGGCAGGCCUAACACAUGCAAGUCGAGCGAGCGGCGGACGGGUGAGUAAUGUAUGGGGAUCUGCCCGAUAGAGGGUGAUAACUACUGGAAACUGUCGCUAAUACCGCAUACCAUCGGAUGUACCCAUAUGGGAUUAGCUAGUUGGUGGGGUAAAGGCUCACGUAGGCGACGAUCUCUAGCUGGUCUGAGAGGAUGACCAGCCAAGCUGGGACUGAGACACGGCCAAGACUCAUAAGGGAGGCAGCAGUGGGGAAUAUUGCACAAUGGGCGCAAGCCUGAUGCAGCCAUGCCGCGUGUAUGAAGAAGGACUGAGGGUUGUAAAGUACUUUCAGCGGGGAGGCGUUACCAGCAGAAGAAGCACCGGCUAACUCCGUGCCAGCCGCCGCGGUAAUAC